rnacentral:rRNA from 1 species
AACGAACGCUGGUGGCGUGUUUUUAUACAUGCAAGUCGAGCGAGGACGGUAGCAAUACCGAGCCGAGCGGCGAACGGGUGAGUAACGCGUAAGCAAUCUGCCCCACAAUCGGGAACAACCGUGCCAACGCGCGGCUAAUGCCGGAUAUUGUAGUCUACUGCAUAGUAGGCCAACGAAAGAUUUAUUGUUGUGGGAUGAGCUUGCGUCCGAUUAGCUAGUUGGCGGGGUAAUAGCCACCAAGGCGACGAUCGGUAGCCGGCCUGAGAGGGUGAUCGGCCACAUUGGGACUGAGAUACGGCCCAGACUCCUACGGGAGGCAGCAGUAGGGAAUAUUGCGCAAUGGGGGGAACCCUGACGCAGCAACGCCACGUGUGGGAAGAAGCAUUUCGGUGUGUAAACCACUGUCGGAAAGGAAUAACGGAAGACUUCGGUCUUUUAUGAAUGUACUUUUAGAGGAAGCACCGGCAAACUUCGUG